rnacentral:tRNA from 1 species
GCCGGCGUAGCUCAAUUGGCAGAGCAGCGGUAUCGUAAACCGCAGGUUGUCCGUUCGACUCGGAUCGCCGGCUCCA